rnacentral:misc_RNA from 1 species
GAAUCGCGAAAUGUCAGGCAAACUGCAGAAUAUUGUGAGUCUGGUAAUUUUUGAAUGCACCUUGCAAAUGUAUCUACUCGAUACCUUUACAUUUGAAUGAGUUGUCGUAUACCACUAUCGUUUGUGUGCUUGUGCACGCAGCGGCUUUGUUGCAAAGGGUGCGCGUAUUGCGCGCGCUUUGCAAUUAAAUACGAGUUGCGCGUUAUUGAUGCCAUCUUAUAUAGAGCUAGUCUUGCAUUUGAUGGCCGCAGUGGCCGCGCCGCUAUACACAAUUUGCACACUCAUUUCAAGUGAGAUUACCCGCUAAACUUAA